rnacentral:lncRNA from 1 species
UACAGAGUGCUGAUUGGUGUAUUUACAAACCGUUAGCUAGACAUAAAGGUUCUCCAAGUCCCCACUAGACUCAGGAGCCCAGCUGGCUUCACCCAGUGGAUCCUGCACCGGGGCAGCAGGUGGAGCUGCUUGCCCGUCCCGCGCCCUGCGCCUGCACUCCUCAGCCCUUGGGCGGUUGAUGGGACCCUGCGCCGCGGAGAAGGGGGCGGCGCUCGUCGGGUAGGCUCCCGCGCGCAGGAGCCCACGGCGAGGCGGGGGAGGGACUCAGGUAUGGCGGGCUGCAGGUCCCGAGCCCUGCGCCCGCCGGAAGGCAGCUAAGGCCCGGCGAGAAAUCCAUUGCAGCGCCGGUGGGCCGGCACUGCUGGGGGACACGACGCACCCUCCGCAGCUGCUGGCCUGCGCGCUAAGCCCCUCACUGCCUGGGGCCGGCGGGCCGGCCGUCCGCUCAGAGUGCAGGGCCCGGCAAGCCCACGCCCAUCCGGAACUCUAGCUGGCCCGCAAGCGCUGCGCGCAGCCCGUGUUCCCGCCCGAGCCUCUCCCUCCACACCUCCCGGCAAGCUGAGGGAGCUGGCUCCGGCCUCAACCAGCCCAGAGAGGGGCCCCCACAGCGCAGUGGUGGGCUGAAGGGCUCCCUGAGCAUGGCCAGAGCGGAUGCCGAGGCCGAGGAGGCGCCAAGAGCGAGCGAGGGCUGCGAGGACUGCCAGCAAGCUGUCACCUCUCAAUGGGGAAAAGAUGUCAUAAUGAACUGCAAGCAAAUUCCACCAAGAGCUGAUUUAGGCAAAAUCUCCAGAAAAACAUAAAGCUUCAAUAAUGAAUAAAAAAGACCAGAGGAUGCAAAAUUCCACAGGAAUGUCAGGUCUAAAUUUUCAAAGUAAUCAGAAAACUUGUCAUGCUGUUACCAAGAGUCCUGUGUUCCACUGCUCAAGUCCAUCAUUGAAGGCUACCAGGACUUUGGUUGAUUCUAUGUUUUUACUACUGUGAAUGGUGCUGCAACAAACAUGUGAGUGCCUUUGUCUUUUUGGUAUAAAGAUCUAUACUCCUUUGGGUAUAUACCCAGUAUUUGGGUUGCUAAGUUGAAUGAUAGUUCUGUUUUAAGUUAUUUGAGAAAUUUCCAAAAUGCUUUCCACAGUGGCUAAUUUAUAUUCCCACCAACAGUGUAUAAGUGUUCCCUUUUCUUCAUAACCUUGCCAUUGUCUGUUUUUUCUUUUUUUUUUUUGACUUUUUAAUCAUAUCCAGUCUGAUUGGUGUCACAUGCUCCCUCUGGGUGGUUUUUAUUUGCAUCGGUCUAAUGAUUAGUGAGGCUGAACAUUUUUUCAUAUAUUUGUUGGCCACAUGUAGGUCUUCUUCUGAGAAGUUUCUGUUCAUGCCUUUUGCACAUUGUUUAAUUUGGUUAUUUGUUUUUUGCUUGUUGAAUUUUUUAACUUACAUAUAGAUUCUAGAUAUUAGACCUUUGUCUGAUGCAUUUGUGAAUAUUUUCCCCCAUUCUGUAGGCUAUCCACUUUGUUUGUAGCUUCUUAUGUUGUGCAGAAGCUCUUUAGUUUAAUGAGGUCCCACUUGUCAAUAUUUGGUUUUGUUGUAAUUGCUUUUGGGGACAUAGUCAUAAAUUCUUUGACAAGACUUAUGUCUAAAAUAUUACUUCCUAGGUUUUCUUUUAGGAUUUUUAUAAUUGGAGGUCUACACUUGUGUAUCAGGUUGAGUGAUGAGGUUACGCCUUUAAACCAGUCCCACAGACUCUCACAGAAUAAGUGUUCCCUGUGGCUCUGAACCACAUUGUGGACUGGAGAUAGGCUACAGUGUGCAUGUGAAGUAGGAGUCAUGAGCUUGAAACAGGGGUGGAUGGGGAAACAGGUUGUGUUCCUGCCUAUGUAGGAUAGGAAACAAGUGCAGCUUCCCAAUCCUGCUGCAGAGACCUCAGUGCACUUCACCAGGAGCCUCUCUCAGCCACCCUCAUCAGGGCUAGUACCUGUGCUCAGCACUGAAAUAUCUAUGGGCAAGCCGAGGGCUCCAGCAUGGUCCAGCUGUGUCCCCUGUGAAAGUGGCCUCAAGGAAUAGGAAGCUCAGAGCACCAGCCACCCCAUUGUCCAAUCCUUCACCGGAAACAAGAGACCACCUCACAGUAAACAAAGAUUGGGUCCAUACACACCUGAUUGUGCGGCAGCUGGCAUUUACCUACAAAUACAAUUUAAUGGACUUUAGGUUAGACCACCCAGCUCAAUACAAAACCUGCUGACAGAAGUCCACAGGACUACAGAAGGAAAGCCAAAAGACCCUAUCCGACACAGCCCUCUCCAGAUGAGAAGAAACCAGCAAAGAAUUCUGCCAUCAUAAGAAUCUGAAUGUUGUGACACUACCAAAGUUUCACUCUAGCAGUGAAGCCAUGGUUCUUAGCCAAAAUGGAGGCAGAGAGAUAACAGAUGGAGAAUGCAAAGCAUGGAUUUCAGGGAAACUCAACAAGAUCCAAGACAAGGUUGAAAAUCAACACAAAGAAAGUUCUAAAGCAAUCAGAGAAAUAAAGGAAGAGGUAAACAUCUUAAAAAGAAAUCAAGCAGAGCUACUGGGACUAAAAAACACACUUAAGAAUUUUUAAAAUACAAUCAAAAGCUUUCUCAAUAGACUAGAUCUGACAGAGGAAAGAAUUCAGAGCUUAAAGAUUGGUCUUUCAGACUAAGCCUGUCAGACAAAAAAAGGGAAGAGAAUUUUUUUUUUAAAUGAACAAAGUCUCUGAAAAAUAUGGGAUUAAGUAAAGUAACCAAAUCUUUGAAUUAUUGGCAUUCUUGAGAAAAAAGGAGAAAAAGUAAACAACCUGGAAAACAUUUGAAGGAAUAAUUUAGGAAGAUUUUCCUAAUCUUGCUAGAGAGGUAGACACAUUUAAAUUAUUGCUGAGUUGUAAGUGUUCUUUCUACUUUAUAGAUAGCAGACACUUACGUACUAUUUUUAAAUAUUUUACCCCAUUGUUUUUGUUGUUGUUGUUUAUUUUUGACACACAAAAAUUUCAGCUGUGAUGACAUUCAUUUUACAUUUUCCCUGCCUUGGUUGCUUGAACUUUUGCUGACAGGUCUAAUAAUGUGGCUAAUCAAAGAUCACAAGGAUUUUUACAAAGAUUUUCUUCUAAGAGUCCAUAUAGCUUAUAGCACUUAUGUUUAGCUCUUUAGUCCAUUUUGAGUCAAUAUUUACUAUAUAGUCUAUUAUGGGGUUCUAAAUGUAUUCUAUUGGAUGUGCCUAUCCAGUUGUCCCACCACAAUAUGUUAAAAAUUAUUUCUGUCUUAUUGUUUGGUUUUGACACAGCUAUAAAAAUCUAUUGACUAUGGAAGUUGUGUGUCUGUUUCUGGACAGUCAACUUUAUUUAAUUAAUCUAUAUGUCUAUCCCCAUGCCAGUUUCACUCUGUUAUGAUUUCUGCAGGUUUGCAGUUACGUUUUAUAAAAUACUGCCAUCAACAAUAUUAAGUCUUCCAAUCCAUGACCACAGGAUGUCUUUUCAUUCAUUUAGGUCUGUAAUUUAUUUCAG